rnacentral:rRNA from 1 species
CAGUAGCCGCGGGAAUACGUAGGUCCCGAGCGUUGUCCGGAUUUAUUGGGCGUAAAGCGAGCGCAGGCGGUUAGAUAAGUCUGAAGUUAAAGGCUGUGGCUUAACCAUAGUACGCUUUGGAAACUGUUUAACUUGAGUGCAAGAGGGGAGAGUGGAAUUCCAUGUGUAGCGGUGAAAUGCGUAGAUAUAUGGAGGAACACCGGUGGCGAAAGCGGCUCUCUGGCUUGUAACUGACGCUGAGGCUCGAAAGCGUGGGGAGCAAACAGGAUUAGAUACCCCUGUAGUCCCUGUCUCUUAUACA